rnacentral:rRNA from 1 species
UACGGAGGGUCCAAGCGUUAUCCGGAAUCAUUGGGUUUAAAGGGUCCGUAGGCGGUUUAGUAAGUCAGUGGUGAAAGCCCAUCGCUCAACGGUGGAACGGCCAUUGAUACUGCUAAACUUGAAUUAUUGUGAAGUAACUAGAAUAUGUAGUGUAGCGGUGAAAUGCUUAGAGAUUACAUGGAAUACCAAUUGCGAAGGCAGGUUACUAACAAUAUAUUGACGCUGAUGGACGAAAGCGUGGGGAGCGAACAGG